AUCCUGUCGCGGGCGCGCGCGCCGGCGGCGGCGGCGGUGGUGGAGGAGGAGGCAGCGCGGCAGCGGGUUCCGUUCCGGGCCGAGGCUGGACGCGGAAAAGUUGCGGGGCGGCGAGGAGCAGCCCGGAGACGGGCAGCGAGGGCGACAUCGAGCCGGGGACUGGCGUCUGAGGACCAGCCAUGGACGACCUCGAUGCCCUGCUGGCAGACUUGGAAUCUACCACCUCCCACAUCUCCAAACGGCCAGUGUUCUUGUCAGAGGAGCCCCCCUACUCCUACCCAACUGGAAACCACACAUACCAGGAGAUUGCGGUGCCACCUCCGGUCCCACCACCACCGUCCAGCGAGGCCCUCAAUGGCACGGUCCUGGACCCUUUAGAUCAGUGGCAGCCUAGUGGUUCCAGAUACGCUCACCAGCAGCCUCCGUCCCCACUGCCCGUGUACAGCUCCAGUGCUAAAAAUUCCAGUGCCUCCAACACCCAGGACGGCGUGGGCUCCCUUUGUUCCCGAGCAGGCGAGGAAGAGCACGUCUACAGCUUCCCCAACAAGCAGAAGUCGGCAGAGCCCUCACCUACCGUCAUGAGCUCCUCCCUGGGCAGCAACCUCUCUGAACUUGACCGGCUGUUACUGGAGCUGAACGCAGUGCAGCACAGCCCGCCUGGCUUCCCUGCAGAUGAAGCCGAAUCGAGCCCCCCCUUGCCUGGAGCCCUGAGCCCCCUUUAUGGCAUCCCAGAAAAUAACACUCCCUUGGGGGGCAAAGCGGGGCCCCUGGUGAAAGAGAAGCCAAAGCGAAAUGGAGGCCGGGGGCUGGAGGAUGUGCGGCCCAGCGUGGAGAGCCUCUUGGAUGAACUGGAGAGUUCCGUGCCCAGCCCUGUCCCGGCCAUCACUGUGAACCAGGGAGAGAUGAGCAGUCCGCAGCGAGUCACCUCCAGCCAGCAGCAGACCCGGAUCUCGGCCUCCUCUGCCACCAGGGAGCUGGACGAGCUCAUGGCGUCACUGUCAGAUUUCAAGACUAGCACUUCUGCUGUGCUGCUGAGCUCCCAGGGGCUGCUGCCCGGCUCUUCUCCACCCCCGCCCCUCACCCUCCUUCAUCCUCCUCUUCCUCCCACUAACUCCUCCCCUGGAGACCACACCCCAGAGGCCCUCUACACAGAAGGAAGUAGUCAGGUCCUUUUACCUUCUGUGGCUCCCAGAUGGCUUGGUUUGGGUAGUCCUGAGGAGACGUCUGACACUCAAAAUUCAAGGUAUCCUUCUGUGGCGGCUUCUCAACAGUCACGUGGUGCGAAGAGCCAGGCUCAAGUUAGGUGUGGCCUGAUGGGUGCUGUGGGUCCCCCCUCUAGGACUCCCCCAUGCCACACUCCAUACCCUGCAAGGAGCAUAGGGUCCCCGGGGCCACUGGCCAACCAUGUGUUUUCAGAGGAGACUGUGGCUCCCAUUUGGGGACAGCCACAGGCUCUGACAGCAUCCAGGCCUGAGAGUCCCCAUGGAGUGACUUACAGCUUUCAGGAAGGGCUUGAGCCACCCGCCGUGGCAUUAGAUCGGCAAGAUAUCCUUCCUGACACCUGGGCUCUCACCAAGGAGUGUGCCCUGCAGGAGAGGGUACAGUCAGAACCAGAGGGCCUGGGAAGCACUUGUCCUGCCGCAGGGGACAAGGAGCCGCUCCGUGGGAAGACUCCCCAGAAGGGAAGCCUUGGGGGACCCACUGAGGCACUCGGGAGCCCAGGGAACCCAGAAGGUACCACUGAAGCCACUCUGGAGGCCAGGAAGGAGCAGCCGGAGCCUUCUUAUGCCAUGGCCGUGGGGACACCCAGCGUCUCGGAGAGGAUUUCCACCUCCGGCCAGGAUUCUGACUUUACGCCUUCAUCCCAAACCGUUUCCGCCAACAGUACAAAUGAAUCCGCUCUGUGAUCAGGAGGAGCCGGGAGACGGGCCACGUGCACCCCAUGUCCCGGGAGCUUUCCCCUCGCCGCAGGCUGGACCCUGCCAGCCUGAGCAGGAACCCAUCCCAGGAGCAGCUCAUUGCUGAGCUGCAGGGCCGGCUGGGCAUCCAGCUGGCGGCCGAGGAGGUGGCAGGGACCCCCGAGCAGGACUGGCUGACGGAAGGCGUUGUUAUCACCGUGCAGCCACGUGGGAGGCAGGCCGGGGGGCAGUUGGUAGAGAAGGUUGUCUACCCUCCUGACUCUCCCGUUCCCCUGAGAAGAACCAUCUCUGUUGUGGCUCCUUCUCCCCCUGCCCCUUUGCUCCAGGAUCACCCUGACCCUUCGACUGGCAGCUCUCCUCUCCCACCCAGCCUGCCCACUCCCUCCUGGCCAGGGCCCUUGGCUGCUGCUUCUGCUUCAUCUUCUGGGGUCCAGACUGAAGGGGGGAAGUCCCCAGAGGAGGGUGGGCGUGGCCCUCCUGGUCUCACCUCUGUGCCCCACACCGUGAGGUCUGUGGGCUGCCAGACCAAUGAGGACCCACUCUUCUGCCCGAUGCAGGCCGGCCUCCAGGCACCUUGCCCUGCCCGUGCCCUGUCUCGUCCCGAGCCACCUCCCAACUCUGAGGAUGCUGCAGAGAUGCAGGGCCUGGAACAGAGAGUGGAUGGAGAGCGGCCGUGGGCAGCCAGCUGGCCCCCCAGCAGCAGGCAGAGCAGCCCCGAAGGGCAGGACGAGGGAGGGUUCAUGGCCCAGGGGAAAACUGGGAGCAGCUCACCCCCUGGGGGACUCUCCAAGCCCGGGAGCCAGCUGGACAGCAUGUUGGGGAGUCUGCAGUCCGACCUGAACAAGCUAGGGGUCGCCACCGUUGCCAAAGGGGUCUGUGGAGCCUGCAAGAAGCCCAUCGCCGGGCAGGUCGUGACCGCCAUGGGGAAGACAUGGCACCCCGAGCACUUUGUGUGCACCCACUGCCAGGAGGAGAUUGGAUCCCGAAACUUUUUUGAGCGGGACGGACAGCCCUACUGUGAGAAGGACUACCACAGCCUCUUCUCCCCACGCUGCUACUACUGCAACGGACCCAUCCUGGAUAAAGUGGUGACAGCGCUGGACCGCACAUGGCACCCGGAACACUUCUUCUGUGCCCAGUGUGGAGCCUUCUUUGGUCCAGAAGGCUUCCACGAGAAGGACGGCAAAGCGUACUGUCGUAAAGAUUACUUCGACAUGUUUGCUCCCAAGUGCGGCGGCUGCGCCCGUGCCAUCCUGGAGAACUACAUUUCAGCCCUCAACACCCUCUGGCACCCCGAAUGCUUUGUGUGCAGGGAGUGCUUCACACCCUUCGUCAACGGCAGCUUCUUUGAGCACGACGGGCAGCCGUACUGUGAGGUCCACUACCACGAGCGGCGCGGCUCGCUGUGCUCCGGCUGCCAGAAGCCCAUCACGGGCCGCUGCAUCACCGCCAUGGCCAAGAAGUUCCACCCCGAGCAUUUCGUGUGCGCCUUUUGCCUGAAGCAGCUCAACAAGGGCACCUUCAAGGAGCAGAACGACAAACCCUACUGCCAGAGCUGCUUCGUGAAGCUCUUCUGCUAGGCCGGUGCCUGCCCUCCCCGCCUUCCCCAGCCAGCCAGUGCCGCCACGCACUGCUCGCUUGGGGCCAAUCCACCAAUGGAAACUGGAACCUCACCCCCUCAGCAGGCACAGGCGCAGGACAGGACUCCGGGUCGGUCCUGCCUGUCUCUCGUCCCUACCACCUGCUAAAGGGGCCUCCUCCCCCUUCCGUGGCUCUCCUGGGCUCUGUGCACUUCAUCUUCCCCAGAGGUGGAAGCUGCUGCCCAGUUGUCCCGUGGAUGUCCCUAAGAGCCAGCACCUCACACUGGAGCCUUUGACAGUCACCUUUCCACAGUGUGGUCAUUGGGAGGGCAGAGAGGGUCAGCUAGGGGCUCUUUUUAUCCUUCUCCAAACCCCUACUGUAUUGGGGACACCGGGCCCCACUAGACAAUGCCAGCAUAAAGUCACCCAUGGGCCAUCAAAGGCACUUUGGGUGCCACCACCCAGUCUCCCAGAGUCUGGGUGACUGCCCCGUUUGUACCGGCCCCGGGGUCUCUGAGAAAGCCUCCUCCAGCAAUAACCUUUUAUAUAGACACGUGCUUCAUCUCUGGGGACGGCGUGAGGUGGGAGUGUCACCCGCCCACGCCUCAACACUGUACCAAAUUUGAUAGAUUUCUACACUGAGGUUCAACUUCGUAUGGCUCAAGUUGCUUUUAUGUAUCUCCACAAGAUGAUUUUGAAGAGAUUUAAAGAACUCCCCCUUUUGUACUCUGGUCUGUCCUUGCCGCUGGGUCAGCCCGUGGCAUUGGUUUUGGUAUGGACUUUGCUUUGUAUGAGGGGGAAAUACUUUGUAUCUUUAUGUUAUUUCUUAGCACAAUGAGCUGGGAGCGGCCCUUGACGACUUCUGAAACCUCGCAGCUCCCGGGACUGUUUUUAAACUGCUGUAUUUUCAAACCCUUCCCUCACUGCCCAGGCCAACGGGCUCUUCAUUAAGAACUACUCUAAGAAUGUCCAGCCCUUUGGACCUGGAGUUUUGAACCUCACGUGUCCUGUUCCCAAGGCAGGCAAAGGGGAAAGACAUAUUUGGGGGUCUGCUUCCUGCCUAAGUAAGCCAUCUGGAACCAGCCUCUGCUCCCUGUGAAAUUUUUUUUGGCGACAAGGAGAAACCCCUGAAUUUUCUCAGCCUCCUCAUUGCUUCUCUGGGGCUCGCUCUUCUUCCUUCUCAGGAAAGCCGGUGUCUGAUUUUGACCAGGAAGAUGGUAAAGGAUCUCUGGUCUCCACUCCACUGGGCGCAUCUCUCCCUCCCUCAAACUUCCUGUCAGCUGACCGGGGCUAAGGCUGUUCCCUUUCACAGGUGGGGUUUGUGUUGGGGGGCUGGGGAAGGGGGUCUGAGAAUGCCCCAAGCUGGAACAGGGGAGCCUGGUAGGAGUUGGGGCAGAGGGACAAGAUCCCUAUUAGAGUAACGAAAAGUCCCAGAGCUCCCAGUCCAAAGGAUGAGAUGGGAGCAGCCAGCUUGGAAAUGGCUGGGGAAAAAGGCGUCUGGAAAAGGGAUUCCAGACAAUUCCAUAGGCUGGGGACCUACACCUUACAUCAGCUUCCCAGUAGAGGACCAGCGUGAUGGGGUCCCAGACAAGGAUCCCCAGUCAAGGUCAGCUCUGGCAGUGGCUGCAGACACCGGCACUUCCACCCACAGGCCUUACUGCUCUGUUUACAGUGACCUGCUCCAGCCCCCCUCCCCCUCCAAGACGAGGUCGGGGUAUCUGGAGGGCCAUUCUCUGGGUCAAUGGAUCUGUGAUCAUUUGAUUCCCCUCCCCCUUAUAAACUUUUAACCUGGCUUUUCUCAUUUCAACUCCUGUGAUAUAUGCCAAUAAAGUUUGCCAUGAUUUUCACCCGA